rnacentral:rRNA from 1 species
UACGUAGGGGGCUAGCGUUGUCCGGAUUUAUUGGGCGUAAAGAGCGUGUAGGCGGCCAGGUAGGUCUGCUGUGAAAACUCGAGGCUCAACCUCGAGACGUCGGCGGAAACCAUCUGGCUAGAGUCCGGAAGAGGAGAGUGGAAUUCCUGGUGUAGCGGUGAAAUGCGCAGAUAUCAGGAAGAACACCCGUGGCGAAGGCGGCCCGCUGGGCAGGAAGGCUCGCAAGAGCCGGCUGACGCUGAGGCGCGACAGCGUGGGGAGCAAACAGG